CAGCAGCUGAAGAUAACGCAGAGGUAGAAUGAGAGAUUCAAAAAUUGUUAGUAGAUGCUGAGAGUAGAUUCAUACGUUAACGAGAGUAGAUUCUGAAAGACCGGUUUCACACCGAAUUUGCAAAGAGUAGCUAAUUUUGGAAGUUGUCAUGCUUAUUUAAAAUGCAUCACCAAAAAAGAAGUAGCAGAGCAAAGAAACUCAGUUGAACACAACAGAAAAAUCACCAGCAGCUGAAGAUAACGAAGAGGUAGAAUGAGAGAUUCAAAAAUUGUUAGUGGAUGCUGAGAGUAGAUUCAUACAUUAACGAGAGUAGAUUCUGAAAGGCCAGUUUCAUACCGAAUAGCAAAUUUUGGAAGUUGUUGACAUGCACUUUUUCACAAAUCAGAUAUAUGAUGUAGCUAUUAACGCAUAAAUCUAGUGCACCCUCACAAUUUAACAAAAUGCUAUGAACACAACAACACAGAAAUGCACGAAUGCCCACAAAGAGUUGUAAGGCCAAAAAUUGACUCUUAAUUAGUUGUAAAGUGCACAAAUAAUACAUAUGCGAGGGCAUACUUCACACAGCUGCAUGGUGUACAAAAUGGAAUUUCGUAUUAGCUGCCUCAAACUCUUGGAAUAAGCUUAGUCAUGUGUCCUUUAAGCGUGCAAUUAGUUCAUCCUGCC
rnacentral:lncRNA from 1 species